rnacentral:lncRNA from 1 species
CCUCGUCUCCAGUGGGGGUGGACACACUGCCAGCACCACAGGCCGGACGCCAGGAUGUGCUUGGAGGGACAUGACACAGUCCGGUGUGACGGAGAGGGACAGACGUGACGCCGUCCGGCCUUCCUGAACACUCUCGGCUGGCCCCGCGGGGGAGCUGCCACACCCAGCGUCUGUUCCUUUGCCUUCCUGAAGGAGCACGUGCAUGACUGCUGCUCUCUGGACCCCAGAACCCUCAAACGACAAGAGAUGGUGCUACCCAGCUCAUGCCUGGGCCUUGGACCCGGACUUCUUCAAGUCCUCCUAGCUCUGACUCAAGAAUAUGCUGCAUUCUGGAGCCACUACACUACUUGACUCAGGAAUCAGCUCUGGAAGGUUGAGCCAAAGGAACAGACGUCCCACACCACCGGACCAACGGCACCCGCGGGGUUCCCCACCCCCCGCCCGGCCACUCCACCUCGGCGGCCACCCCCUGCUGCGCCCUGGAGACACCACCAGCCUCCCUCUCUCCCCUUCCUCCUUUUUUUCCUCUGUCUUUUCUCUUCUCUUCUUUCCUCUCCUUUGCUCAGAAGACUCGGGGCAUCCAGGACUCUGUGUCCCCGUCCUUCCUGAAUUAAUUUGCACUAAGUCGUUUGCACUGGUUUGGAGUCCUGGAACCAGCCCCGGGUCUCGGAGCGGGUGUGUGAGCUGCCGAGUGGCCUGGCCUCCUCGGCCCGCGCCCCCUCAGCACCUGCCAUUGUCCAUCUCUGUCUGGGGGUGACUGGGUGGGGGCCUGAGUGUGUGGGGCCCCGCCCUCCCCUCUCCUAGUCUGGAAGCUCCGACCACCGAGCAGACCUCAAACGCUGCACUGAGUGUCCAUCUCGUCAUGUGCCCCUCCUCGCCAGGGCCACCCCAGAGCCCUGGACUCAUCAAUAAACUCAGUUACCGGAAUCUGUCUCA